UACGUAGGUCCCGAGCGUUAUCCGGAUUUAUUGGGCGUAAAGCGAGCGCAGGCGGUUGGAUAAGUCUGAAGUUAAAGGCUGUGGCUUAACCAUAGUAUGCUUUGGAAACUGUUCAACUUGAGUGCAGAAGGGGAGAGUGGAAUUCCAUGUGUAGCGGUGGAAUGCGUAGAUAUAUGGAGGAACACCGGUGGCGAAAGCGGCUCUCUGGUCUGUAACUGACGCUGAGGCUCGAAAGCGUGGGUAGCGAACAGG
rnacentral:rRNA from 1 species